GAUGAACGCUGGCGGCGUGCCUAAUACAUGCAAGUCGAGCGAACGGACGAGAAGCUUGCUUCUCUGAUGUUAGCGGCGGGCGGGUGAGUAACACGUGGAUCACCUACCUAUAAUACUGGGAUAACUUCGGGAAACCGUAUCUAAUACCGGAUAAUAUUUUGAACCGCAUGGUUCAAAAGUGAUAGACGGUCUUGCUGUCACUUAUAGAUGGAUCCGCGCUGCAUUAGCUAGUUGGUAAGGUAACGGCUUACCAAGGCAACGAUGCAUAGCCGACCUGAGAGGGUGAUCGGCCACACUGGAACUGAGACACGGUCCAGACUCCUACGGGAGGCAGCAGUAGGGAAUCUUCCGCAAUGGGCGAAAGCCUGACGGAGCAACGCCGCGUGAGUGAUGAAGGUCUUCGGAUCGUAAAACUCUGUUAUUAGGGAAGAACAUAUGUGUAAGUAACUGUGCACAUCUUGACGGUACCUAAUCAGAAAGCCACGGCUAACUACGUG
rnacentral:rRNA from 1 species